rnacentral:rRNA from 1 species
AACGAACGCUGGCGGUAUGCUUUACACAUGCAAGUCGAACGACUGUUGGUAGCUUGCUAUCAACAGUUAGUGGCAAACGGGUGAGUAACGCGUGGGAAUCUGCCCUAUAGUACGGAAUAGCCGUUGGAAACGACGAUUAAUACCGUAUAUCUUCCCAGGAAGAAAGACUUGUCGCUAUAGGAUGAGCCCAGUUAGAUUAGUUUGUGGUAGGUAAUGGCCUACCAAGACUACGAUCUAUAGCUGGUUUGAGAGGAUGAUCAGCCACACUGGAACUGAGAUACGGUCCAGACUUCUACGGAAGGCAGCAGUGAGGAAUAUUGGACAAUGGGCGAAAGCCUGAUCCAGCAAUACCGCGUGAGUGAUGAAGGCUUUAGGGUUGUAAAACUCUUUCAGUAGGGAUGAUAAUGACGGUACCUACAGAAGAAGCACCGGCUAACUCCGUGCCAGCAGCCGCGGUAA